rnacentral:rRNA from 1 species
UACGAAGGGUGCAAACGUUGCUCGGAAUUAUUGGGCGUAAAGCGCACGUAGGCGGCUUUGCAAGUCCCAUGUGAAAUCCCACGGCUCAACCGUGGAAGUGCAUGGGAAACUGCAGAGCUUGAGUACUUAAGAGGAUCGCGGAAUUCCCGGUGUAGAGGUGAAAUUCGUAGAUAUCGGGAGGAACACCGGUGGCGAAGGCGGCGACCUGGGUCGAUACUGACGCUGAGGUGCGAAAGCGUGGGGAGCAAACAGG